rnacentral:rRNA from 1 species
AACGAACGCUGGCGGCAGGCCUAACACAUGCAAGUCGAGCGAGGACUUCGGUCCUAGCGGCGGACGGGUGAGUAACGCGUGGGAACGUGCCCUUUGCUUCGGAAUAGCCCUGGGAAACUGGGAGUAAUACCGGAUGAGCCCUUUGGGGGAAAGAUUUAUCGGCGAAGGAUCGGCCCGCGUUGGAUUAGGUAGUUGGUGGGGUAAUGGCCUACCAAGCCGACGAUCCAUAGCUGGUUUGAGAGGAUGAUCAGCCACACUGGGGCUGAGACACGGCCCAGACUCCUACGGGAGGCAGCAGUGGGGAAUCUUAGACAAUGGGGGAAACCCUGAUCUAGCCAUGCCGCGUGAGCGAUGAAGGCCUUAGGGUUGUAAAGCUCUUUCAGCUGGGAAGAUAAUGACGGUACCAGCAGAAGAAGCCCCGGCUAACUCCGUG